rnacentral:rRNA from 1 species
GCAAGUCGAACGAUGAAAGCGGAGCUUGCUCCUGCUGGAUUAGUGGGCCGAAACGGGUGAGUAACACGUGAGUAACCUGCCCUUGACUCUGGGAUAAGCGUUGGAAACGACGUCUAAUACCGGAUACGACCUUCGGAGGCAUCUCCUGGGGGUGGAAAGAAUUUCGGUCAAGGAUGGACUCGCGGCCUAUCAGCUAGUUGGUGAGGUAAUGGGCUCACCAAGGCGACGACGGGUAGCCGGCCUGAGAGGGUGACCGGCCACACUGGGACUGAGACACGGCCCAGACUCCUACGGGAGGCAGCAGUGGGGAAUAUUGCACAAUGGGCGCAAGCCUGAUGCAGCAACGCCGCGUGAGGGACGACGGCCUUCGGGUUGUAAACCUCUUUUAGUAGGGAAGAAGCGAAAGUGACGGUACCUGCAGAAAAAGCACCGGCUAACUACGUG